rnacentral:rRNA from 1 species
UUACUAGAGCAAAGGAUAGACAGCGCCCGCGGAGCUCGCUCCCGGGGCUACCCUACUCCCGUAGGGUUUAGAGUCGUCGGGCCUCUCGGAGAAGCUCGGUCCUGAACUCCACCCUUGAAUAAACUACCUUUGUUGCUUUGGCGGGCCGCCUCGUGCCAGCGGCUUCGGCUGUUGAGUGCCCGCCAGAGGACCCCAACUCUUGUUUUUAGUGAUGUCUGAGUACUAUAUAAUAGUUAAAACUUUCAACAACGGAUCUCUUGGUUCUGGCAUCGAUGAAGAACGCAGCGAAAUGCGAUAAGUAAUGUGAAUUGCAGAAUUCAGUGAAUCAUCGAAUCUUUGAACGCACAUUGCGCCCUCUGGUAUUCCGGGGGGCAUGCCUGUUCGAGCGUCAUUAUAACCACUCAAGCUCUCGCUUGGUAUUGGGGUUCGCGGUUUCGCGGCCCCUAAAAUCAGUGGCGGUGCCUGUCGGCUCUACGCGUAGUAAUACUCCUCGCGAUUGAGUCCGGUAGGUCUACUUGCCAGCAACCCCUAAUUUUUUUUAAGGUUGACCUCGGAUCAGGUAGGGAUACCCGCUGAACUUAAGCAUAUCAAUAAGCGGAGGAAAAGAAACCAACAGGGAUUACCUCAGUAACGGCGAGUGAAGCGGUAACAGCUCAAAUUUGAAAGCUGGCUCUUUUAGGGUCCGCGUUGUAAUUUGUAGAAGAUGCUUCGGGUGUGGCCCCGGUCUAAGUUCCUUGGCACAGGACGUCAUAGAGGG